GAGGAUGUAGCUCAGCGGUAUGAGUGCUUGCCUGGCAUGCAUGAGGCCCUAGGUUCCAUUCCCAGCAAUCCCU
rfam:Ictidomys tridecemlineatus contig000336, whole genome shotgun sequence.